UGACUCCCUGGUAGCGGAGAGACCAUGAUCAUGAAGCUGGUUCUCCCAGGACGAGGCCAGCCCAUUGCACUUCGGGUGUGCUGACACCUGCGAUGUCCCCAAAUGCGGGAUACUCGACUGCAAAAUUUAUGGUAGUGGGGGACUGCGUUCGUGCUCUCCCCAG